GAGGACGACGCUGGCGGCGCGCCUAACACAUGCAAGUCGAGCGGAGAUAUACGAAGAGUAAUCCGAGUAUAUCUUAGCGGCGGACGGGUGAGUAACGCGUGAGUGACCUGCCUCUUACAGGGGAAUAACGUGCCGAAAGGCACACUAAUACCGCAUAAGACCACGAAACCGCAUGGUUAUGAGGUCAAAGGAGCAAUCCGGUAAGAGAUGGGCUCGCGUCCGAUUAGAUAGUUGGUGAGGUAACGGCCCACCAAGUCGACGAUCGGUAGCCGACCUGAGAGGGUGAUCGGCCACAUUGGAACUGAGAGACGGUCCAGACUCCUACGGGAGGCAGCAGUGGGGAAUAUUGGGCAAUGGGGGAGACCCUGACCCAGCGACGCCGCGUGAGGGACGAAGGUUUUCGGAUCGUAAACCUCUGUUGUACGGGAAGAAGGAUGUGACGGUACCGUACGAGGAAGCCCCGGCAAACUACGUG
rnacentral:rRNA from 1 species